UAAAGUAACAAAGUUCAAACCCUGUGUGGGCAUGGCUGUGGCAGCAGGAGCUCAAGGGCAACUGGUUCCAGCACUUUCUCACUACGUUUGAAUUCUACUUGGGAUCCUUCCACAUUGAUACCCAUGGGGUUUGAAGAUGGAAGAAGGGACCACAAUGCAGACAGCCUCUAGAAACAGGAAAAAGGAAGGAAAUGGGUGCUCUCCUGGAACCCCCAGAGAGGAAUACAGCUCUGCUAACACUUUAGUUUUAGCCCACUGAAACCCACGUUGGACGUCUUACACACGUGUAUCGUCUUACAUGAUCUCCACAUGAAAAUCCACCAUGAGCCUACGUAUCCGUCAGAUUGCUGCUCUGAGAAACUGUGGAUCGAAACUGGAUGCACACACCUGAGCUGUAUUUCCUUGAUCUGCCGGAGGAGAACGGGAGGCAAUAGUAUCUCCGUGCCACCUGUGACCAGAGAUGUAGCGCAUGGGAGAUUCCAGGAUAGCAGGAUGUGGGGUAGAUUGUUCCCAAGGUUGCUUUAGAAGCACGAAAAAUUUUCUUUAGAAUCAGGGUGUCACAACAGCUUCCUGAAGACACCACACAUCCAAAAUUAGGAGUGGGAGCUAAGUCGAAGAAUCAUAUAAUCAGCGUCUGGCUUCCUGAAGCACCUUAAUGAAAUAAAAUGCCAAAAUUCACAGAUACAUUGACACUCCUGCUGAUAGCCUAAAAUAGCAUCAACUUCCGACUGAGCAAGCCAAUUGCCAGCUAUUGCAUUGAACUCUUUUGAAUGAUGACAUGCCAAUAAGGUGACCUUAUUUUCGAGAUGAGUUCCCUUUUCCUUGCUCUCUCUCAUUUCCACUUUGACAGCAAGACUGGACUUGGCCUUUUUCUAAGGCUACCUAGACUAGAAGAUGCCAGUGCGGAUGGAUUAAUAAAAAUUAAAAGUAA